GACGAACGCUGGCGGCGUGCUUAACACAUGCAAGUCGUACGGAAAGGCCCUGCUUUUGUGGGGUGCUCGAGUGGCGAACGGGUGAGUAACACGUGAGUAACCUGCCCUUGACUUUGGGAUAACUUCAGGAAACUGGGGCUAAUACCGGAUAGGAGCUCCUGCUGCAUGGUGGGGGUUGGAAAGUUUCGGCGGUUGGGGAUGGACUCGCGGCUUAUCAGCUUGUUGGUGGGGUAGUGGCUUACCAAGGCUUUGACGGGUAGCCGGCCUGAGAGGGUGACCGGCCACAUUGGGACUGAGAUACGGCCCAGACUCCUACGGGAGGCAACAGUGGGGAAUAUUGCACAAUGGGCGGAAGCCUGAUGCAGCAACGCCGCGUGCGGGAUGACGGCCUUCGGGUUGUAAACCGCUUUCGCCUGUGACGAAGCGUGAGUGACGGUAAUGGGUAAAGAAGCACCGGCUAACUACGU
rnacentral:rRNA from 1 species